CCGUUCUCAAACUGGCCAAGACGCGUUGGUUCCCGAAAGCCGAUUAGCUAUCACGAUGAGCACGGGAAAUAACUGAAAUGAUAGCGUGGAGAACAGCGAUUUGCACUCAACUAGAGUAUUGUGUCGGAAAGCGUGCUUGACUUCUACGGGGUUCCCAGUUUUAAUACCGGUGUGGACAAAACAAUAUUUCUUGCCAUUUCAGUAAAGAAUGUUGCCUGCCAUCAAGCCACCAGCUACACCAGCCACUGCAACCACUCUCCAUGGUAUGCCCUGAGGGGAUUCCAGGAUGGAGAAAAAGAGGAUACUGGCCCUAGAUAGUUAUGAUGCAGACCAGAGGAAUAAUUUCUCUGAGCCCAGACUCUCGCAUCUUCCCACGCAUAGAAAAGCAUUAAAAUCAUCAACUUGAGAUGUCUGGUUUUUGUGAUUAGCAGUAAUCUUUGAUGUGCAACUCCAUGUUUUUUUGUUUUUGAUUUUCCAGGAAAAACUGUUUAUCCUGGCUCCUCCCUUACCUGCUUGGAACAAUUCCUCAGAGCUUUCUGAAAGGCUGUCUUCUGCGAUAUAGUUCUCAGUAAGGUCACCAAAUAAAAUAUAACUCUCAA